AGUCUGAGACGGUGGGCGAGAGAAUCAAGCCUUCAGCUUGGAGAAGAGCUUCUUGCUAAGUAAUUAGCUCUGCUGAAACAAUAUGGACAAGAAGCCUGCUGCAAAAGGAACAAAAGCUCAACAAUAUCCCCCUGUGGGCUAUCCCAUGGAUUCCUCGGCACCACAGACCAAGAAAUGCUGCCAUGCAAAGACGAAGAAGAGAGGCGAGAGAGGCUUCAUUGAAGGAUGCCUUGCAGGACUUUGCUGCUGUUGGAUCUUCGAAGAAUGCUGCAUUUAAGUAGAAGGAUCAUUAGUAUUAUGAUUGCUCUGGAUGUAAUUUAGCAAAAUGUUGAUGGUGAUUCGGUAAUGUCACUGGACAUCUUCAGAUGACAAUAUUUACGAGAUAAAUAUACUACUGUAUACUAAAAACAUAAGAACACGAUCUCAACAAGAUAAUGCAAGACACAAUACUGAUAGAGGUAAAUGUUACUAGCAUUUUGAUAUGGCGCGGCUAGACAUGUGAGGAUGAUGAUCAAUGCAUGUUGGCAUUACGUUAUGUGUUUAGUCCAACCAAAGAAGCCAAAUAGGGAUGCAUAUGACUAUUUGCAAGAGUAAUUGAGUGAGGGUUGAGGUUACAACAACUUGAAGAAAACUGCAAUUGACGUUUGUAAUUGUCAAACGGGAUGCCUUUUUGAAGAGCUAUAAAUCUUAACAUUAACCUUCCCUCAUGUAUUGCAUUUACUAAUCGAGAUGUAUCACAACUUCUGGGUGUAGGAAAAGAGAUACGGAUUGAAGUGCUUGAUUAUUAAACCCAAUAAAUAAUUAAGCUAAGAAUCUUCUUGUAUGGAUCACAAACCAUGAUGAGCACAACUUAAAAUUGGUGGUGUUGCAUAUACUUUGUACUAAGUAAAAAUCUUGAUGAAGAAUU